AAACAGAAACUACUAUUUCCAACAAUAAUGUCUGACCAAGAGAUGUCUGUGCCGCUGCAUCGGUGCAGGGCCAUUCCUGAUGGGGAGUUAGAGCUGACGGGGAGCCCGCCGACGAUGACAUCGAUAAAUUUAGAGGUCGGGGCUGCAAGUACAUCUGGAGUGGCGGCUAGUUCGCCCUCAACGGCUCAGGGCCGGCGCAUUUUGGUGGCUCGUCGUUCGCUGCUGCAGGACGAUGAUAUUGUCCUGCUACUAGCAGAUUCGGGCAGCGAAGGUGAAUCGGAUGCAGACCAGUCCGACGAGGACACUGAGGAGGCAACUCAAAUGCCGACGAGGGCAAUAACCCACCGCUUGCGUCACGAAGUAAUUGCUAGAACGGAAGGUCUUUCAAGAGCAUGAAUUUGAUGUGGAUGAUUUUAUUCCAGACGAAUGUGUGAUGGAUGAGUCGGUGGUAGUGCCAGAGGAUUUGAAUGUGUUGGGGGGGCAUGAACCUGUUGACGUAGGUGAAGUAUUUCAGUGGGCGGUUCUACCGGCCGACAAGAAACUUACUUACGUCAACCUGGGCCAGCAUUUAUUUCUAAUGACCCUACAGAGAUAUUUUUGAGGAUUUGGGACGUGGACGUUAUGGGUCUCAUAGCGUCAGAGACAAAUAAAUACGCAAGGCACAAAUAAAUAUUGAACAAUAUAACAAUCGUCCCACUGUUCCCAAGUAUUUGGGGCAAUGGGCUGAUGUCACUAUAGACGAUUUGUAUAAGUAUUUCGCCUUGCUGAUUAUUUAUUCGUCAUACAAUUAAGUUCUAGAAAUUUUUCUUUUAUAUAAAUUUUUAAAAUAAUUGUACUUACUGGUUAUAAAUUUCUAUAAAUAUUAUUAUUUCAUUGUUGUAUGUCUAUUAGUCAUAUUAUAAUAAAGCUCUAGAAAUAUUGUUA